rnacentral:lncRNA from 1 species
AGAAGGAAGAGUAUCUUCGAAGAUUAAACUUUCGAUACCCACUCGUCGUUUUCAGUCGACUCGUGAGCGUCGUUCCGAACGUGCACCUGUUUCGAUUAUCUCGUUUACAUUAAAGCUUAUUUUCAUUCUCUCGCGUGACACUUCGAAAAAUCUGAUUUGUCGUUUGCCAAUCGAACUGGGAGAAAGGAAGAAACAUUUGCAAAUAUCAUCGACGGGAUUAACGUUAGAAUCAAUUGGAGUGAAUCAAAUCUGAGAUUAUUGAAGGAAAAUACACGGAGGAAAAAGUUUAUCGAAAAAGACAAAAAGGUCGAAGUUUAUAUUACCAAUUGAAGGAAGAAUAAUCAAAAAUGCAUAUCAGGAUAACAUUGUCACUUCUGGUGCUGUUUUGUGUUCUACUAAGACCGACAGUCAGUAUAAGUCGUCUUCUCGAUCCAAAUUUUAUCUACUUUCCUGAUCAAGCGGAAUACAUCUACAAAGCUGACAAAUGUCCGGAUAAUAUGAUCCUCUGGCCCGGAACCGGUAAAUGUUACAAAGAAGGUGAAAGAGGACCCUGCGAUGUCGGCCGAGUUAUAUUACUCGACAAACGAUUACUCAAACCCUACUGCAAGGAUAUUUUAUAGAAGAAAAUAUUCCUACAAGAAAUGGCUGCACUCGAGGAAAACCCCAAUUAUCGAUUGCUAGUCAGAAAAUUGUCUACGAAAAGUCCCUAGAUGACAAUACUAUUUUUGAUAAAAAUCGUUUCCCUACGUAAACUUUUAAACGAGUUUCUCUUCGUACUCGUAGAGUGACACCACUAAUAUUAAUUCUUCGAUAGCUCUCUUUUAACUUAAAAAUGUGCCAUUAUGUUAUUUAUUUAUUUCUUUUAUUUAAGUGAAUCAAUGAUAAAUUAUUCCAGAUACGAUGUAAAGUAAACCCAUUUAUUAUUUAUUUUUAAUGGAUCUGGUUGUAAUUACGAAUUGAUUUUACACAGUUCUUCGUUGAUUUUUUUAAUUACAAAUGGAUUGAUAGAAGAUUCAAUCGUAUGAAAAGAAAAUGUAAUUACAUUUGAAAAAAUCAGUGAUGUUUAUAAUGUGUUAGGAAGGAUAGCGUAGUUUUAGUAUUAAUCAUCUCAUUAUGAAAACUUGAACACACAUUUGUAUCAUCUUUUGUAAUAUUUAUUAAUAGUUUUCUCUGUCGAUAGUUUUUACUUUUAUUUUUGUUUUUUAUAUUCCAAUUGGACUGAUCGAAGGUUCAAAUCGUAUAAAAAUAAAAUCUAAUUGUAUUUAACAAAAUAUCGGUAAUGUAACGUAACGAGUUAGGAUGGGAUCGCAAAGUUUUAGCAUCCAGUCGUCUCAUUACGAAAACUUCAGCAUCUGUAUCACCUUUUGUAUUGUAAUACACGACAUUUUAAUUAUAGAAGUUGCGAAGCGACUAUAAACGAAUCCGAGCGUUUGUGCAAGUUCUGUGAAUUAAACUGUACUAAUUUUCAUGUAAUUUCAUUUCGGUACGUCACGUCGCCAAAUAAAAUAUCACUUUGUCCUUC